UGUGUAUUUGUUUAUGUACAGUAUGCAUUCACUUAUGUAUGUUUUGUUUGAUGGUCUGGAUAAAGAGGCAGAAUUGUCCCGAAAAAUGCAUGUCUUGGCACUCCCAGACAGAUCCAGGAUCCUGGGUUGUAGGCCCCUCUUCUGACUCUAGGUGUACUGCAUACGCCCUUUGACAGUGAUGAAGUAUAGAUUAAUUUUAACGCUAUGCUAUUCGAUGUAUUUAUGUGCAUAUGGCGCCCCCAGCCGUUAAAAAGUUUUAAAAGGAUGUGCUACAUUUUUCUUGUAAUCUUUUACAUUGAAAUGGGACAUAUACUGGUUAAAUUCAGUAUUAUUUGUUGCUUUCAUUUUCUUUUCUUAAAACCUUGCUUCAUUUAUUUGUUCAUCAUUUUUCUUUAGGGGUUGAGAAGGGAAGAUUUAAAAAUUCCAGCUAACAUUGUUGGUGAUACGUGUGCUUGUGCUGCUGUCUGCUUUGCAAACCUGCAGGACAUCAUGGAAAUGGCUGCCCAAAAUGCAAAUUUACACUUGGAAAGCAUAAUUGCAAAGCUGACGUUGAGGGUGAAAAGUCUUCUGCAGCGCUACUACAGUGAGGGUAAACCAAGAACAAAAUGUGUGAAACGUCUGACUACAGGCAACUUUUUUGUAAACUAUGAAGCCUUCUUCAAAAAAUGGAAUGAGAAGAACUGUACUAUCUAAUGUUAAGAAAUGUAAGUUCAUGUACAAAUCAUGAGCUUAAACCUAUUUUAAAUCUGUUUUUUGCCAUGUAUUCAAGAAAAUUAAACAUUAUAUUCC
rnacentral:lncRNA from 1 species